rnacentral:rRNA from 1 species
GCAUAUCAAUAAGCGGAGGAAAAGAAACCAACAGGGAUUGCCCUAGUAACGGCGAGUGAAGCGGCAACAGCUCAAAUUUGAAAUCUGGCCUCGGCCCGAGUUGUAAUUUGUAGAGGAAGCUUUCCGGCGUGGCACCUUCUCGAGUCCCCUGGAACGGGGCGCCGUAGAGGGUGAGAGCCCCGUACAGUUGGAUGCCUAGCCUCUGUAAAGCUCCUUCGACGAGUCGAGUAGUUUGGGAAUGCUGCUCAAAAUGGGAGGUAAAUUUCUUCUAAAGCUAAAUAUUGGCCAGAGACCGAUAGCGCACAAGUAGAGUGAUCGAAAGAUGAAAAGCACUUUGAAAAGAGAGUUAAAUAGCACGUGAAAUUGUUGAAAGGGAAGCGCUUGUGACCAGACGUACGCCUGUGGCUGAUCAUCCGGUGUUCUCACCGGUGCACUCUGCCCGGCGUAGGCCAGCAUCGGUUCUCGCGGGGGGAUAAAGGCCCCGGGAAUGUAGCUCCUCCGGGAGUGUUAUAGCCCGGGGUGCAAUGCCCUCGCGGGGACCGAGGCUCGCGCUCUGCAAGGAUG